rnacentral:rRNA from 1 species
UACGGGGGGAGCAAGCGUUGUUCGGAUUUACUGGGCGUAAAGGGCGCGUAGGCGGCGCAACAAGUCACUUGUGAAAUCUCCGGGCUUAACCCGGAGCGGUCAAGUGAUACUGUCGUGCUAGAGUGCGGAAGGGGCUACUGGAAUUCUCGGUGUAGCGGUGAAAUGCGUAGAUAUCUGGAGGAACACCGGUGGCGAAGGCGGCAUCCUGGACCGAUACUGACGCUGAGGAGCGAAAGCCAGGGGAGCAAACGGG